GACGGAGGGAGCGAGCGUUGUUCGGAAUUACUGGGCGUAAAGCGCGUGUAGGCGGCUUGCUAAGUCUGAUGUGAAAGCCCGGGGCUCACCCCCGGAAGUGCAUUGGAAACUGGCGAGCUCGAGUCCCGGAGAGGAGGGUGGAAUUCCUGGUGUAGCGGUGAAAUGCGUAGAUAUCAGGAGGAACACCGGUGGCGAAGGCGGCCCUCUGGACGGUGACUGACGAUGAGACGCGAAAGCGUGGGGAGCAAACAGG
rnacentral:rRNA from 1 species